GCCGCUAUAGCUCAGUGGUAGAGCACUGGUCUCGUAAACCAGGGGUCGUGAGUUUUAACCUCACUUGCGGCA
rnacentral:tRNA from 1 species